rnacentral:rRNA from 1 species
UACGUAGGGGGCAAGCGUUGUCCGGAAUCAUUGGGCGUAAAGAGCGUGUAGGCGGCCUGGUAAGUCCGCUGUGAAAGUCCAGGGCUCAACCCUGGAAUGCCGGUGGAAACUGUCAGGCUCGAGUCCGGAAGAGGCGAGUGGAAUUCCUGGUGUAGCGGUGAAAUGCGCAGAUAUCAGGAAGAACACCCGUGGCUAAGGCGGCUCUCUAGUACGGUACUGACGCUGAGACGCGAAAGCGUGGGGAGCGAACAGG